UCAGGACGAACGCUGGCGGCGUGCCUAAUACAUGCAAGUCGAACGGCUUUUCUAUGGAAGCUUGCUUCCACUGAGAAGAUAGUGGCGAACGGGUGAGUAACACGUGGGUAACCUGCCCAUAAGAGGGGGAUAACAUCCGGAAACGGGUGCUAAUACCGCAUAGUUUUCUUGAUCGCAUGAUCGGGAAAGGAAAGACGGCCUUUGUGCUGUCGCUUAUGGAUGGACCCGCGGCGUAUUAGUUAGUUGGUGAGGUAACGGCUCACCAAGACGAUGAUACGUAGCCGACCUGAGAGGGUGAUCGGCCACAUUGGGACUGAGACACGGCCCAAACUCCUACGGGAGGCAGCAGUAGGGAAUCUUCCGCAAUGGACGAAAGUCUGACGGAGCAACGCCGCGUGAGUGAAAGAAGGUUUUCGGAUCGUAAAACUCUGUUGUCAGAGAAGAACAAGUUGGAGAGUAACUGCUCCAGCCUUGACGGUAUCUGACCAGAAAGCCACGGCUAACUACGUGCCAGCCGCGGC
rnacentral:rRNA from 1 species